rnacentral:rRNA from 1 species
GACGAACGCUGGCGGCGUGCUUAACACAUGCAAGUCGAACGGUAAGGCCCUUCGGGGUACACGAGUGGCGAACGGGUGAGUAACACGUGGGUGAUCUGCCCUGCACUUCGGGAUAAGCCUGGGAAACUGGGUCUAAUACCGGAUAGGACCACUGCCUGCAUGGGUGGUGGCGGAAAGCUUUUGCGGUGUGGGAUGGGCCCGCGGCCUAUCAGCUUGUUGGUGGGGUGAUGGCCUACCAAGGCGACGACGGGUAGCCGGCCUGAGAGGGUGACCGGCCACACUGGGACUGAGAUACGGCCAGACUCCUACGGGAGGCAGCAGUGGGGAAUAUUGCACAAUGGGCGCAAGCCUGAUGCAGCGACGCCGCGUGAGGGAUGACGGCCUUCGGGUUGUAAACCUCUUUCAGCACCGACGAAGCGCAAGUGACGGUAGGUGCAGAAGAAGGACCGGCCAACUACGUGCCAGCCGCCGCGGUAC